CCUACGGGAGGCAGCAGUGGGGAAUUUUCCGCAAUGGGCGAAAGCCUGACGGAGCAAUACCGCGUGAGGGAGGAAGGCUCUUGGGUUGUAAACCUCUUUUUUCAGGGAAGGUAAUGACGGUACCUGAGGAAUAAGCAUCGGCUAACUCCGUGCCAGCAGCCGCGGUAAUACGGAGGAUGCAAGCGUUAUCCGGAAUGAUUGGGCGUAAAGCGUCCGCAGGUGGUUUUAAAAGUCUGUUGUUAAAGCGUGAGGCUUAACCUCAUAAGGGCAAUGGAAACUGUAAGACUAGAGUACGUUCGGGGCAAGGGGAAUUCCCAGUGUAGCGGUGAAAUGCGUAGAGAUUGGGAAGAACACCGGUGGCGAAAGCGCCUUGCUAGGCCGUAACUGACACUGAGGGACGAAAGCUAGGGGAGCGAAUGGGAUUAGAUACCCCAGUAGUCCUAGCCGUAAACGAUGGAUACUAGGCGUUGUCUGUAUCGACCCGGACAGUGCCGUAGCUAACGCGUUAAGUAUCCCGCCUGGGGAGUACGCACGCAAGUGUGAAACUUAAAGGAAUUGACGG
rnacentral:rRNA from 1 species